GAGUUUGAUCUUGGCUCAGAUUGAACGCUGGCGGCAUGCCUUACACAUGCAAGUCGAACGGCAGCACGGGAGCUUGCUCCUGGUGGCGAGUGGCGAACGGGUGAGUAAUGCAUCGGAACGUAUCCUGGAGUGGGGGAUAACGUAGCGAAAGUUACGCUAAUACCGCAUAUUCUGUGAGCAGGAAAGCGGGGGACCUUCGGGCCUCGCGCUCUUGGAGCGGCCGAUGUCGGAUUAGCUAGUUGGUGAGGUAAAGGCUCGCCAAGGCGACGAUCCGUAGCAGGUCUGAGAGGAUGAUCUGCCACACUGGAACUGAGACACGGUCCAGACUCCUACGGGAGGCAGCAGUGGGGAAUUUUGGACAAUGGGGGCAACCCUGAUCCAGCCAUGCCGCGUGAGUGAAGAAGGCCUCGG
rnacentral:rRNA from 1 species